UUUCGAAUCAUUCACAAUGGGCGAAAGCCUGAUGGUGCGACGCCGCGUGAGGGAUGAAGGUCUUCGGAUUGUAAACCUCUGUCACCGGGGAAGAAACGUUUUGAGCUAAUAGUUCAAAGCCUGACUUAACCCGGAGAGGAAGCAGUGGCUAACUCUGUGCCAGCAGCCGCGGUAAUACAGAGACUGCAAGCGUUAUUCGGAUUCACUGGGCGUAAAGGGUGCGCAGGUGGCCAAGUGUGUGAGGCGUGAAAGCCUGGGGCUUAACUCCAGAAUUGCACCUCAAACUACUUGGCUAGAGCAUUGGAGAGGGGAGCAGAAUUCACGGUGUAGCAGUGAAAUGCGUAGAUAUCGUGAGGAAUACCAGAGGCGAAGGCGGCUCCCUGGACAAUUGCUGACACUCAGGCACGAAAGCGUGGGGAGCAAAAG
rnacentral:rRNA from 1 species